UAUAUCAAUUUGGCUGAAGCGAAAUCACAGCAGCGCGUUGUCAACAAUCGAGUUUUAUACAAUCGUCGCUGCGAUUUAUUUGAUCGCAAUAGCGCGAAUCAAAUGCUCGAUUAAACACAUUGGCGCUGCCUGUUUUAUAGCUGUCGCCGAGAGUUUGUUAACGCUUGCGCAAAUGCCGCGCCCACCUCUGUCCACCGCCCCACGUGUCGCUCAUGAAAUUCAAAUUCAAAUUCAUUUUGGGCUCAAAUCGAAACGCCGCACACAAUUUAUGCAUCUGGCAUACGAAAUCCGGAAUGCAGCAUCGACUUCUGAUUGCGAUUUGACUUUUAAAUGAAAGCCGAUCGUUUUUUUUUUUUUGAAGUGGAGAGCCAGGUAAGCCUUAUUUUAGAAUAGUAACUAAAAAGGUAACAAUAAUUACAGAUCAGUUCGUCGGAAUGGAAACGCGUUAAUUUGGAAUCAUUUUGCAGAAGGUUGCUUUAUUAGAAAUAAUAGCUAUCUAUGCGAUGCCUGCGACUAAAUACCCUUGAAAACAUUAUGCAGCUAUUCAAAAUUAUUCAAAAAUAUUAUUAUGUUAAA